UCGGCGUAGCGGCGCCGUGGUAAUGCAGCCGGAGGCCGUCGGCUCCUGGCGGCUCACCCCUUCACUGGAGGAUGGAGACCUGACGGAACGACCAAGGUUGGUGAUUCUCCCGUCUACAGCGAGGGCGAAGCAGCCAUGCUCCAAGCCAACCAAUCCCGGUAGAAUCAAUGGUGUGCAGGAAGCAAUGAAAAGAAAAUUAGGUAAUACUAGUAGCACA
rnacentral:lncRNA from 1 species